GAAUAUUGGACAAUGGGCGAAAGCCUGAUCCAGCAACGCCGCGUGAGGGAUGACGGCCUUCGGGUUGUAAACCUCUUUCAGCGGGGACGAAGCGAAAGUGACGGUACCCGUAGAAGAAGGACCGGCCAACUACGUGCCAGCAGCCGCGGUACUACGUAGGGUCCGAGCGUUGUCCAGAAUUAUUGGGCGUAAGGGGCUCGUAGGCGGUUUGUCGCGUCGGGAGUGAAAACACGGGGCUUAACCCCGUGCCUGCUUCCGAUACGGGCAGACUAGAGGUAUGCAGGGGAGAACGGAAUUCCUGGUGUAGCGGUGAAAUGCGCAGAUAUCAGGAGGAACACCGGUGGCGAAGGCGGUUCUCUGGGCAUUACCUGACGCUGAGGAGCGAAAGUGUGGGGAGCGAACAGGA
rnacentral:rRNA from 1 species